ACCCGCUGAAUUUAAGCAUAUAAGUAAGCGGAGGACGAGAAACUAAACAGGAUUCCCACAGUAAUGGCGAAUGAACGUGGAGGAGCUCAACAUGAGAAUUGUGGCCUUCGGCCUUGAAUUGUAAUCUCAAGAUGUACUGGCCAACGGAGGCGCAGGCGUAAGCCUCUUGGAAAAGAGCAAUCGUUGAGGGUGAGGAUCCUGUUCGUCUCCUGCAGACCUCCGUGUACGGCGUACUUUCAAAGAGUCACGUUCCUUGGGAUUGGAGCGCAAAUCGGGUGGUAAAUUUCAUCUAAAGCUAAAUAUGGGUUCGAGACCGAUAGCAAACAAGUACCAUGAGGGAAAGAUGAAAAGGACUUUGAAAAGAGAGUUAAAAGUGCCUGAACUCGCUGUAAGGAAAGCGGAUGGAACCAGUCUNGCUUGGCAAGACUGUCGCGCCGUUGCGCGGGGCUGAAGGGGACAGGUUGAACUUGAAAUUCCUUGUNCCUGGAAGUGCACGCGUGCCGCGAUGUUUCUUGCCUUGCUUGUCACAAGCGGUUUGCGAUUGAAGACGACCUCUCGGGACAUGGAAGCUCGCCCCAGGGUGUGCGAACGUGCCUUGCAGAACUUAGUCGUAGACUGGCGCUCUGCCCAAGCUGCGGGCGGUAGCCAGCGCAGGUGGUGUGAAAACAGCUUGCGUUGCCCUUUGUUACGAGGGGCGCUGGUUUACGCCCGACUAUUGGUGCACUUGCUUUUGUGACUGAAUGGUUCUAUUCGACCCGUCUUGAAACACGGACCAAGGAGUCUAACAUAUGUGCUAGUCUUUCGCUACCACGGUUAAAGGCGCAAUGAAAGUGAGUGCUGAGAACGAGUAGAGAAACAUCAGCAGCCGACCAAUCAAUUGGGAGAGGUUUGAGCAUGAGCACAUGUGUUAGGACCCGAAAGAUGGUGAACUAUGCCUGAGAAGGGCGAAGUCUGCGGAAACGCAGAUGGAGGCUCGUAGCGAUACUGACGUGCAAAUCGUUCGUCAUACUUGGGUAUAGGGGCGAAAGACUAAUCGAACCAUCUAGUAGCUGGUUCCUUCCGA
rnacentral:rRNA from 1 species